rnacentral:misc_RNA from 1 species
GAUAAAGAACGUAGCGAAAUGCGAUAAGUAGUGUGAAUUGCAGAAUUCAGUGAAUCAUCGAAUCUUUGAACGCACAUUGCGCCCUUUGGUAUUCCUUAGGGCAUGCCUGUUCGAGCGUCAUUUAAACCUUCAAGCUAAGCUUGGUGUUGGGUGACUGUCCGCUUCACUGCGGACUCGCCUCAAAAUUAUUGGCGGCCGGUACAUUGGCUUCGAGCGCAGCAGAAACGCGAACUCGGGCCCGUCGUAUUGGCUCCCAGAAGCUAUCUUCACAAUUUUGACCUCGGAUCAGGUAGGGAUACCCGCUGAACUUAAGCAUAUCAAUAAGCGGAGGA